UACGUAGGUGGCAAGCGUUGUCCGGAUUUACUGGGCGUAAAGAGCGCGCAGGCGGUCGUUCAAGUCGCGUGUGAAAGCCCCUGGCUCAACUGGGGAGGGUCACGCGAUACUGUUCGACUCGAAGGCAGGAGAGGGAAGUGGAAUUCCCGGUGUAGUGGUGAAAUGCGUAGAUAUCGGGAGGAACACCAGUGGCGAAGGCGACUCCUGGCCUGUUCUUGACGCUGAGGCGCGAAAGCUAGGGUAGCAAACGG
rnacentral:rRNA from 1 species